rnacentral:rRNA from 1 species
UACGGAGGGGGACUAGCGUUGUUCGGAAUUACUGGGCGUAAAGCGCACGUAGGCGGAUUUGUAAGUCAGGGGUGUAAUCCCGGGGCUCAACCUCGGAACUGCCUUUGAUACUGCAAAUCUCGAGUCCGGAAGAGGUGAGUGGAAUUCCUAGUGUAGAGGUGAAAUUCGUAGAUAUUAGGAAGAACACCAGUGGCGAAGGCGGCUCACUGGUCCGGUACUGACGCUGAGGUGCGAAAGCGUGGGGGAGCAAACAGGG